GACGAACGCUGGCGGCGUGCCUAAUACAUGCAAGUAGAACGCUGAAGGAGGAGCUUGCUUCUCCGGAUGAGUUGCGAACGGGUGAGUAACGCGUAGGUAACCUGCCUGGUAGCGGGGGAUAACUAUUGGAAACGAUAGCUAAUACCGCAUAACAGUAGAUAUUGCAUGAUAUCUGCUUGAAAGGUGCAAUUGCAUCACUACCAGAUGGACCUGCGUUGUAUUAGCUAGUUGGUGAGGUAACGGCUCACCAAGGCGACGAUACAUAGCCGACCUGAGAGGGUGAUCAGCCACACUGGGACUGUGACACGCCCCAUACUCCUACAGGUGGCAGCAGUAGGGAAUCUUCGGCAAUGGGCGGAAGUCUGACCGAGCUACGCCGCGUGAGGAAGGAAGGUUUUCGGGUCGUAAAUCUCUGUUGUAAGAGUAGAACGCGUGUGAGAGUGGAAAGUUCACACUGUGACGGUAACUUACCAAAAAGGAACGGCUAACUACGUG
rnacentral:rRNA from 1 species